AGCUCCAAUAGCGUAUAUUAAAGUUGUUGCAGUUAAAAAGCUCGUAGUCGGAUUUCGGGGCGGGCGUGGCGGUCUGCCGUUGGGUAUGCACUGUUUCGCGCGUCCUUCUUUCCGGAGACCGCGCCUACUCUUAGCUGAGCGGGCGCGGGAGACGGAUCGUUUACUUUGAAAAAAUCAGAGUGUUUCAAGCAGGCAGCUCGCUCUUGCAUGGAUUAGCAUGGGAUAAUGAAAUAGGACUCUGGUGCUAUUUUGUUGGUUUCGAACACCGGAGUAAUGAUUAACAGGGACAGUCAGGGGCACUCGUAUUCCGUCGAGAGAGGUGAAAUUCUCAGACCAAUGGAAGACGAACCACUGCGAAAGCAUUUGCCAGGGAUGUUUUCA
rnacentral:rRNA from 1 species